rnacentral:rRNA from 1 species
GAUGAACGCUAGCUACAGGCUUAACACAUGCAAGUCGAGGGGCAGCAUGAACUUAGCUUGCUAAGUUUGAUGGCGACCGGCGCACGGGUGAGUAACACGUAUCCAACCUGCCGAUGACUCGGGGAUAGCCUUUCGAAAGAAAGAUUAAUACCCGAUGGCAUAGUUCUUCCGCAUGGUAGAACUAUUAAAGAAUUUCGGUCAUCGAUGGGGAUGCGUUCCAUUAGGUUGUUGGCGGGGUAACGGCCCACCAAGCCUUCGAUGGAUAGGGGUUCUGAGAGGAAGGUCCCCCACAUUGGAACUGAGACACGGUCCAAACUCCUACGGGAGGCAGCAGUGAGGAAUAGUGAUCAAUGGACGAGAGUCUGAACCAGCCAAGUAGCGUGAAGGAUGACUGCCCUGUGGGUUGUAAACUUCUUUUAGACGGGAAUAAAGUGAGGCACGGGUGCCUUUUUGUAUGUACCGGAUGAAUAAGGAUCGGCUAACUCCGUG